rfam:Stegodyphus mimosarum contig136, whole genome shotgun sequence.
GCCUUUGUGGUGUAACUAGAAGCACGCUCGACGCGUAUUCGAGAAGUCCUGGGUUCGAGUCCCGGGGAGGGCA